rnacentral:sRNA from 1 species
GCUGGGCGCGGUGGCUCGCGCCUGUAAUCCCAGCACUUUGGGAGGCCGAGGCAGGCGCAUCACUUGGGGCCAGGAAUUCAAGACCAGCCUGGCCAACAUGGCGAAACCCUGUCUCUACUAAAAAUACAAAAAUGAGCCGGGCAUGGUGGCGGGUGCCUGUAAUCCCAGCUACUCAGGAGGCUGAGGCAGGAGAAUCGCUUGAACCUGGGAGGCGGAGGUUACAGUGAGCCGAGAUGGCCAGGCUAAUUUUUUGUAUUUUUAGUAGAGAUGGAGUUUCACCAUGUUGGCCAGGCUGGUCUCAAACUCCUGACCUUGUGAUCCGCCUGCCUCAG